rnacentral:snRNA from 1 species
GUCGCUUCUCGGCCUUUUGGCUAAGAUCAAGUGUAGUAUCUGUUCUUAUCAGUUUAAUAUCUGAUACGUCCCCUACCCGGGGACCAUAUAUUAAAUAGAUUUUUGGAACUGGGAGAUAGAAAAGGGGCUUAAUUAAUUGCUUAUGGCCAUACCACGGCCAUGCCACCC